rnacentral:pre_miRNA from 1 species
GUACUACUUCCUUCGUCCGGAAAUAUUUGUUCGAGGAAUGGAUGUAUCUAGAUGUAUUUUAAUUAUAAAUACAUUCAUUCAUAUCUAUUUUGACGACAAGUAUUUCCGAACGGAUGGAAUACUAA